CAGCUCGUGUCGUGAGAUGUUGGGUUAAGUCCCGUAACGAGCGCAACCCUUGUCCUUAUUUGCCAGCACGUAAUGGUGGGAACUCUAAGGAGACUGCCGGUGACAAACCGGAGGAAGGUGGGGACGACGUCAAGUCAUCAUGGCCCUUAUGACCAGGGCUACACACGUGCUACAAUGGGGCGUACAGAGGGUUGCUAAGCCGCGAGGUGGAGCCAAUCCCAGAAAACGUUUCGUAGUCCGGAUCGAAGUCUGCAACUCGACUUCGUGAAGUCGGAAUCGCUAGUAAUCGCGAAUCAGCAUGUCGCGGUGAAUACGUUCCCGGGCCUU
rnacentral:rRNA from 1 species